AUAACUCUUCCUGAGCAGCUCCGGAUCAGAAAUGGGUUAUAGAGAGUCCCUGAAGAGUGAUGUGGAGCUGUUCUGCAUGGAUAGAAACUUUAGGAAAUCCCCAUGUCUGGGAUGUGGCACAGCUGCCCAGUGAGGUGGUGGGGUCACUGCCCCUGGAGAUGGUCCUGGAGAGCCAUGGAGAUGUGGCACUGAGGAGCAUGAGAUCUUAAAGGGAGGAACACGCACCAAGAGGAAGGGAACGAGGAGGGACGUGCGGCGCUCACGAGGCGAGGAGUUAGGCUCAAGGUCAGCAAAUCAAUCACCAGCCAGGAGACAGAGCAGAAAUUGGACAAGGCAGAGUCUCUCUGACACGCCGAUCAUAAGCACAGCCCUUUGGCACGGCUCCAGCGGCACCAAUAAAGGGUUUCAUUCCCCGCUGCACCCUGCAUGUUUCUCC
ensembl:lncRNA